UUAAGUUGGAUGCCAUUGGAGUAGGCAUGGCUUUUGCAUCAUACAUUUCCGCUUUUGCAAGCAGCUCCUUGAUAUAUUUGGUCUAGCAAAGGAGUAUUUCAUUGUCGUUUCUCUUAAUAGCUUUGGUACCCAAGAAAUAAUUCAUUUCUCCUAAGUCUUUUAGAGAAAAGAUUGAGUUAAGUUGGCUGAUUAGUGUGGCAAUUUCAGAGUCCGAACUCCCUGUGACUAAGAUGUCAUCGACAUAGACAAGAAUAUAAGUUGCGGAGGAUGCUGUAAAUCUUGUGAAGAGAGACGUGUCUGAGAUAAUGUUAUGGAAUUCAAAGCUGUCGAGGGUUGUCUUGAGCUUAGUGAACUACACACGAGGCGCCUGCUUCAGCCCAUAUAGUGACCUCUGAAGUUUGCACACAUGAUGCAAAUGGUUCGGUGAGAGAAAGCCUUCUGGUUGAGUCAUAUAUACUAUUUCUUAAAGAUCCCCAUUUAAAAGGCGUUGUUGAAGUCAAAUUGCCUUAUUCUCCAUCCUUUUGCCAAAGCCAAAGUUAGCAUGAUUCGCACAGUAGGUAGCCUUACUAUGGGACUGAAAACCUAGUCAAAAUUCACGCCUUUCUUUUGGGAUUGUAUUAGGAGUGGGUUUGGAGACUAGCUGCCAAGUGUGGUUCCU